rnacentral:misc_RNA from 1 species
UCUCCGUAGGUGAACCUGCGGAGGGAUCAUUACCGAGUGAGGGCCCCCGGCCCGACCUCCAACCCUUUGUGUUUCUGACUGUGUUGCCUCGGGGGCGACCCUGCCGUCCGCGGCUGAGCGCCCCCGGGGUCAAUCAAACACUGCAUUCUCUGCGUCGGAGUAUUAGUAAAUCUAAUCAAAACUUUCAACAACGGAUCUCUUGGUUCUGGCAUCGAUGAAGAACGCAGC